rnacentral:rRNA from 1 species
UACGUAGGGGGCUAGCGUUGUCCGGAAUCAUUGGGCGUAAAGAGCGUGUAGGCGGUUCGGUAAGUCUGCCGUGAAAACCUGGGGCUCAACCCCGGGCGUGCGGUGGAUACUGCCGGGCUAGAGGGUGGUAGAGGCGAGUGGAAUUCCCGGUGUAGCGGUGAAAUGCGCAGAUAUCAGGAGGAACACCAAUGGCGAAGGCAGCACUCUGGGACGUGACUGACGCUGAGACGCGAAAGCGUGGGGAGCAAACAGG